rnacentral:sRNA from 1 species
CCAAAAGGACUAAAGAACACCACAAAACUUUUUAACUACUCAACGGCUAUUCCUUACUCUAAGCCUUCUCGUCGGCCUUCUCAUUAAGCUCGUUUUGCGACGCACGAGCAGCACUGAGAGGCUCAAGCUCUUGAAGCUUACCAGCCUGCCUGGCGGGGUCGGCAAAGGUUCGCACAGGGUCGUUGAGGUGUCGGAAGUAGGU